rnacentral:rRNA from 1 species
CCUACGGGUGGCUGCAGUGGGGAAUAUUGGACAAUGGGGGGAACCCUGAUCCAGCGACGCCGCGUGAGUGAAGAAGUAUUUCGGUAUGUAAAGCUCUAUCAGCAGGGAAGAAAAUGACGGUACCUGACUAAGAAGCCCCGGCUAACUACGUGCCAGCAGCCGCGGUAAUACGUAGGGGGCAAGCGUUAUCCGGAUUUACUGGGUGGAAAGGGAGCGUAGACGGCGAUGCAAGUCUGAAGUGAAAGGCGGGGGCCCAACCCCCGGACUGCUUUGGAAACGGUAUGGCUGGAGUGCAGGAGAGGUAAGUGGAAUUCCUAGUGUAGCGGUGAAAUGCGUAGAUAUUAGGAGGAACACCAGUGGCGAAGGCGGCCUGCUGGACCGCGACUGACGUUGAGGCUCGAAAGCGUGGGGAGCGAACAGGAUUAGAUACCCCAGUAGUC